UGUUGGUGCUAUAGCAUGAAGAUUUGAUAGCUCUUUGCCUAACCUCCUAAGAACAGCUCUUGGAAACUCAGAGAAAAGAAAGCUAAGUUAUUAAUAAUGUACAAGGAAACUGGUUGAGAAUGGGAUCAGAAGCAAAGGCAGGGGUUGAGAAAGCAACAGUGGAAUCAAGGCUUGAAAAUUAUUGCAGCCUCUCUGAGACAUCUGAAUGGAAUGUUUGGGAAGAUAAAUGACAACACUGGUCAGAGACCUAUGACAGUUAUGGGAAGACGCAACACUACAGGCAAUAACUGCUACAUCUGAGUUCGCAAACCCAAAAUGGGAUCCCAUCCUUCUCCUCUUACGAAGACAGUUGUAGACUUUUUGCCUGAAUCAAGACUCAGGAAAGGGUUACCCUGCUUAGUG